rnacentral:rRNA from 2 species
UACGUAGGUGGCAAGCGUUGUCCGGAUUUAUUGGGUUUAAAGGGUGCGUAGGCGGUUCCUUAAGUCAGUGGUGAAAUACUUCAGCUCAACUGGAGAGGUGCCAUUGAUACUGGGGAACUUGAGUACUGAUGAGGUAGGCGGAAUGGACGGUGUAGCGGUGAAAUGCUUAGAUAUCGUCCAGAACACCGAUAGCGAAGGCAGCUUACUAAGGAGUAACUGACGCUGAGGCACGAAAGUGUGGGGAUCAAACAGG